rnacentral:rRNA from 1 species
AUGAGCUCCGAGGACUCGCUCAAGUCGCUGUCGCUCGACUACCUCAACCUGCUCAUCAACGGCCAGGCGUUCAGCGACGUGGCCUUCAGCGUGGAGGGCCGCCUCGUGCACGCGCACCGCUGCGUGCUCGCCGCGCGAAGCCUCUUCUUCAGGAAGCUCUUCUGCGGCCUCGACCCGAGCCACCAGCCCCCGCCACCGCCUCUCAACUGGCCAAACGCGGGAGGCGGCAGCGGUGGCGGUGGCGGUGGCGGCUCACGUGGGGGCAGCGGGGGUGCCCCUGCCACGCCCGAGCUGGUCAUCCCCGUCAGCUCGAUCCGGUACGAGGUGCUGGUGCUGGUGUUGCAGUUCCUCUACAGCGGCCAGGCGUCGGUGGCGGCGCCCAAGAGCGGGCCGCUACCCGGCUGCGGCGCCAGGGGAUGCUGGCACACCCGCUGCGGCGCCGCCGUCGACCUAGCCCUCGACACCCUCGCCGCCGCCCGCUCCUUUGGCGUCGAGCAGCUCGCCUUGCUGGUCCAGAAGCAAUUGGAGAGCAUGGUGAAGGAGGCGUCCGUGGAUGACGUGAUGAAGGUACUCAUGGCGUCGCGCAAGUUCGAGAUGCAGGAGCUCUGGGCCACCUGCUCCCACCUCGUCGCACGCUCGGGCCUCUCGGCCGAUCUCCUCGCCAAGCACCUCCCCAUCGACGUCGUCGCCAAGAUCGAGGAGAUUCGCGCAAAGUCGCCACUCGCCGGAGGCGGCGCCUCCGCGCCGCGCUCGCCGUUCCUCACUCACCACUAUCUGCCCAUCAACAACGGGCCGUCUUCCGCCGCCGACCGCGACCACAAGAUCCGGCGCAUGCGUCGUGCCCUCGACGCGGCCGACAUCGAGCUCGUCAAGCUCAUGGUCAUGGGCGAAGGCCUGGACCUCGAUGACGCGCUCGCCGUGCACUACGCCGUGCAGCACUGCAACCGCGACGUCGUCAAGGCGCUCCUGGAGCUCGGAGCUGCCGACGUCAACUCCCGCGCUGGCCCGACGGGGAAGACCCCGCUGCACCUGGCCGCCGAGAUGGUGUCCCCGGAUAUGGUAUCCGUGCUCCUCGACCACCACGCCGACCCCAACGCCAGGACGCUGGAUGGUGUCACGCCGCUGGACGUGCUCCGGGGCCUCACCUCGGAGUUCCUCUUCAAGGGCGCCGUGCCAGGGCUCACUCACAUCGAGCCCAACAAGCUGAGGCUGUGCCUUGAACUCGUGCAGUCAGCGGUCAUGGUAACCACGCGUGACGACGGCGGGGGAGGCGAUGGCGGCGGCGCCGGGGGAAGCGACGGCGGAAAUUUCGGCCGGGGCGACGCGGACGACAGCCUGGUGAGCCUGACCAUGAAUUCCACGCUCAUGUACCAGGGCCAGGAGAUGGCGGCGCCGCCGGUGGCCGGCGAGGCGAGGAACAAAGGGGCCAACAACGGCCGCGCGAGCCCCUCCAACUUGUACUUCCCCAAUGGCUUCCCAUGA